UACGUAGGGUGCAAGCGUUAAUCGGAAUUACUGGGCGUAAAGCGUGCGCAGGCGGUUUUUUAAGCUUGAUGUGAAAUCCCCGGGCUUAACCUGGGAACUGCAUUGAGGACUGGAAGGCUAGAGUACGGCAGAGGGGGGUGGAAUUCCACGUGUAGCAGUGAAAUGCGUAGAGAUGUGGAGGAACACCGAUGGCGAAGGCAGCCCCCUGGGUCAAGACUGACGCUCAUGCACGAAAGCGUGGGGAGCAAACAGG
rnacentral:rRNA from 1 species